AUGUUCUCUGUAGCUCUGCUGCUGCUGCUGGCUGCUGGAUCCUGUGUGAAGUGUGAACAGCUGACACAGCCAGUCUCUGUGACUGUGCAGCCAGGUCAUCGUCUGACCAUCAGCUGUCAGGUCUCUUAUGAUGUGAGCAGCUACUUGACACAUUGGAUCAGACAACCUGCAGGGAAAGGACUGGAGUGGAUUGGGUACAAAUAUACUGGAAGUUCAAACUACAAAGACUCACUGAAGAACAAGUUCAGUAUCGACUUAGACACUUCCAGUAAAAUAUUGACUCUGAAUGGACAGAAUAUGCAGCCUGAGGACUCUGCUGUGUAUUACUGUGCCAGAGAGCCACAGUGA